GGCUUAUGUAGUGUAAAAAGAACGUUAGAGUGCAAAUCUAAAGGUGAAUUACGACGUUCCUUAGCCU
rnacentral:tRNA from 1 species